rnacentral:rRNA from 1 species
GAUGAACGCUGGCGGCGUGCCUAAUACAUGCAAGUCGAGCGAACGGACGAGAAGCUUGCUUCUCUGAUGUUAGCGGCGGACGGGUGAGUAACACGUGGAUAACCUACCUAUAAGACUGGGAUAACUUCGGGAAACCGGAGCUACUACCGGAUAAUAUUUUGAACCGCAUGGUUCAAAAGUGAAAGACGGUCUUGCUGUCACUUAUAGAUGGAUCCGCGCUGCAUUAGCUAGUUGGUAAGGUAACGGCUUACCAAGGCAACGAUGCAUAGCCGACCUGAGAGGGUGAUCGGCCACACUGGAACUGAGACACGGUCCAGACUCCUACGGGAGGCAGCAGUAGGGAAUCUUCCGCAAUGGGCGAAAGCCUGACGGAGCAACGCCGCGUGAGUGAUGAAGGUCUUCGGAUCGUAAAACUCUGUUAUUAGGGUAGAACAUAUGUGUAAGUAACUGUGCACAUCUUGACGGUACCUAAUCAGAAAGCCACGGCUAACUACGUG